UGGGGGGUGGUUGGGGGUCCCUCAGCCUGGAUUGCGAGAGGGCACAGGCCAGGCCGAGGGACCCCACUGGUGCACG
rnacentral:pre_miRNA from 1 species